rnacentral:rRNA from 1 species
UUUAACGGCCGCGGUAUUUUGACCGUGCAAAGGUAGCGCAAUCACUUGUCUUUUAAAUGAAGACCCGUAUGAAUGGCAUAACGAGGGCUUAACUGUCUCCUUUUUCCAGUCAAUGAAACUGAUCUCCCCGUGCAGAAGCGGGGAUAAUUACAUAAGACGAGAAGACCCUAUGGAGCUUCAAACAACAGACAGACCAUGUUAAAAUACUUAACCAAAUAAGAUUAAACCUUUGUAUACCUGUCUUAAUGUUUUCGGUUGGGGCGACCACGGGGAAAAGAAUAACCCCCACGCGGUGAAAAAACCUAUUCACAACCAAAAUUAACAAAUUUAAGUACCAGAAGUUCUGACCAUAAAUGAUCCGGUUAUACCGAUCAACGAACCAAGUUACCCUAGGGAUAACAGCGCAAUCUCCUUCUAGAGCCCCUAUCGACAAGGAGGUUUACGACCUCGAUGUUGGAUCAGGAUAUCCUAAUGGUGUAGCCGUUAUUAAGGGUUCGUUUGUUCAACGAUUAAAAUCCU